GAGCCUAGAAACCGCUGGGCAAGGAACAGACGACUCAGACCCUUUGCAAGUCAGCCCAAAAGAUGCUGAACAAAGGCAAAACGUGCCAUGACAGCAGGCUGAAACACCAAGGACAGCAGAUCCUACAGCUAUAGGAGGACAACAAAAAGAAAUCCCUCACAUUGACAGUGUCUGCAAACAACCCUGUUUUAACAGGAGACCAUUUCAGUCAAGAUGUCUGCUGCGAUGCCUUACAGCUACCACAUUUCUUAGUAUUCUUAGACGACAGAUUUUUCUGAUUGAAGCAGUAGUAUCACAGUUCACGUACACUGGUCUUAGAAGGGUGCUGAUUCCAGAUUAAUGAGCAUCAGAGAGCAUCUUGCAAUUAUCCCUCCAGAGGGAGGCUAACUGAUAAAUGAGCAGAUCCACUGCAGCAAGGCCAGCAAAACUAGUCUUCAGAAAUAGCCCUCAAAUAAUCUCUGGCAUACAUACAAAAAAUACACAGAAGUAAUUCUUACUUUUGUUUGAAAAAUGUUAGUAAGACCGUAAGUGUCUUCCUAAAAUAAACCAUCAUAGAACAAAAA